UUUUUUUUUUUUAUGUUACAAAUGAGAAAACUGAAUCUCCGAAAGGUAAAGCAACUUGCCCAGGAUGGCUCAGCAAGUAAUGACUAUCUCCCCCAACUAAAUUUUAUAGCCUUUUCUAGUACCUGCAAAAUCCUAGGUGAGAAACGUCACUAAGUUUACUUCAAAUUACUAUUUUGCUUCCUACAAUAACCAACAUCAGUAAAACUUUAACAAAAACAGAUAGACUGGAGUUCCCGUCGUGGCGCAGUGGUUAACGAUCCUGACUAGGAACCAUGAGGUUGUGGGUUCGAUCCCUGGCCUUGCUCAGUGGGUUAAGGACCUGGCGUUGCCAUGAGCUGUGGUUGCAGACGCGGCUUGGAUCCCGCGUUGCUGUGGCUCUGGAGUUGGCCAGUGGCUAUAGCUCCAAUUCGACCCCUAGCCUGGGAACCUCCAUAUGCCUCAGGAGCAGCCCAAGAAAUGGCAAAAAGAUAAAAAAAAAACUUAAAGCACGUCUUUAAAAAAUGUUUCCAAGUCACCAUUCAAAUAUAUAAAAUUUGUUGUGAGCCACACAGGAAAUGGUAUAUUAACAAAAACUGUUCAUUUAAACACACACACACCCCUCACUACUGUUUGUCAUCCUCUAUAAAGCUCUAAGGAGGAAGCAAUAAAACAGUCACCAAUUCAACAGGAUCACCACAAAUGAAAGGACAUCCGUAACUAUUUAAUCUACCUUGAGAUUAAAGAAGAAAAUCUAAUACUAUUAUGUUUUAAAUAAUUCAAGUAUAAAGAAAAACUCCCAAAUCAAAAUUCAAAAACAAUCACUCUGACUUCAAAUCUCUCCCUGUAUCACUACUUAAAAUUCUGAAAAUUAAUUUAGAAAUAUUUUUAUGGCUGAAUCCCUGCCAUAUGGAAGUUCCUCCAGUACAGGGACUGAAUCCUAGCUGCAGCUGCAACCUACGCCAGACCCUUUAUUUAACCCACUGAAACCAGGCCUGGGAUCAAAUCCCAAACUCCGAAGCAAGCAGCAGCAGUCAGAUUUUGUUUUUGCUUUUCAGGGCUGCAGCCAGGGCACAUGGAAGCUCCCUGGCGAGAGGUCGAAUCAGAGCUGCAGCUACCAACCUACACUACAGCCACAGUAACGCCUAACCCACUGAGGAGGCCAGGGAUUGAACUGCAUCCUCAUGGAUACCAGUUGGGUUCAUAACCCACUGAGCCACAGCAGGAACUCCCUGCGGUUAGAUUCUUAACCCACUGCAUCAGAGUGGAACUACAAACUUAGAAUUUUUUUGAAUGUUAUAAUCUAAAAUGUUACAGUUCAGCAUAAACUGAUAAACAGUUCAUGAAAAGACUUUUUUUUUUUACAAUUCAAUAUAAACUGACGAACAUUUCACGGACUCAUGCACUUCAGAUCUUGCUAUGUCUUGGCUGCAAAUAGCUUUAACAAAAAAAAAAAAAAACAUUUUCCCUUGUGCUCCAAAUCAUAAGUAAAACAAGAAUAAAUCAGAUUUAAGAAAGGAAAAAUAGGGAUUUCUAAAAUAUGUAAUAGUAAUAAUAGUAAUGAAGUGUUGAAGAAAUCCAAUUAUCUUAAAUUCUCCUGGAUAAAUCAAGUUAGGCAAUAUAGAAGUUCAAGUGAAAGUAAACAUAGGAGUUCCCGUCGUGGCACAGUGGUUAAUGAAUCUGACUAGGAACCAUGAGGUUGCGGGUUCGAUCCCUGCCCUUGCUCAGUGGGUUAACGAUCCGGUGUUGCCGUGACCUGUGGUGUAGGUAGCAGACGCGGCUCGGAUCCCACAUUGCUGUGGCUCUGGUGUACGGUGGCUACACAGCUCCGAUUCAACCCCUAGCCUGGGAACCUCCAUAUGCCGCGGGAGCAGCCCAAGAAAUAGCAACAACAAAAGACAAAAAGACAAAAAAAAAAAAAAAAAUAAAAAGCUUUUUCCUUUUAAGUCUCCUCCGCCACAUGCUUAAAAUGUUCCACUUAGAGACAAAUAAAUGUAAACAAAAACAUUUUCAACAUGCCUCAGAAUAAAACUCUCUAUCUUCAAAACCACAUUAGUCAUAAAGUGUUAAAACAUAUUGGUAGGCACUGUUGUAUUUGCCCUUUUUUUUUUGGUAGAACAGCAGUCCAACAAAAAGUCUGACUACAAAUUAAAUAAAUUGGUAAUACAUGCAGUUUUUCAAAAAUAAUUUAUAUCCAUUUGAGAAUUUUUUAUCAUUAAUAGUACAGAUGGUCGAGUUUAUCCUUAUCACAAUUAUUAUAACAUUUCCUGGGAUUUGCAAAAAUAAAAAAUGUGAUCAGGAGAUAAUGUAAUAAUUAGCAUGGCCACAUUAUUGUAAUUUAAUAAAAAGAAAAAUAUCAAAUGAACACCAAAGCAAUUUAAAUAUUGUCCUGUUGAAAGGCAUUUUAAAUCAUUUUAUUUCUAUUUACAGCCUAUCAUAUCCUUCCAACUUUCCUUAACUUUUGUCUGAUUUUCCUCCCGUUGGAUCUUAUUUGAAGGAAAGAUAGCUGAUUUUAGAUUUUAGUAACAUCACCCCUUUCUCCUUUCAUUUCCUUCCAAUUCACUGUGCCAGUGGCUAAGACAAGGGAACAUCCUCCUAAAAAUAAAAAGGAUCACCUUUCUCUGUGUGUCAAUGAUGAACAGAAAAUGCAUUUACAUUACGAAUUAUAUUUAUAGGAGGAAAAACAGUCAAUCUAGUGCUUUUGGUUCUUUAAUAAAGUAUAUUCUGUUUUAAAAUAUGACCAUUGUUGUCUCCUUGUAAAUCCAAAAUCGUGUUUCAUCAAUUCUCAAAAAGGUCAUAAUGCAUAGUUAUUACUAGUGAAAUUUUAACUGCACAAAUGCGAUUUAAUAAUGAUUUGAUGAUCUAUUUUCUAAAAUCUGAUAUACAACGAUUACGCUUGUAUUACAUAGCUGAUUGUCUAAACCUGGCAAUUUUUGGAAUUAGCUCGACGCUCCCUAUUAUUUUAAUUGUGUCCUUUCUCCCUAGUCCUAGGUCCGUCAACUCCCCUCCAGAACCCCCCUCCUCCCGUGCCGCUCCCCCCACUCCCCCCCAAAAAAAAAAAAAAA
rnacentral:lncRNA from 1 species